rnacentral:rRNA from 1 species
GAUUAACGCUGGCGGCGUGCCUAACACAUGCAAGUCGAGCGGCAGCGAGUUUUACACUGAAUUCUGGAAGCUUCUAGUUGAAAGAGAAGAUUUAUUCAAGAAUUUUGUGUAAAAUGUCGGCGAGCGGCGGACGGCUGAGUAACGCGUGGGAACGUACCCCAAAGUGAGGGAUAACGCAUCGAAAGGUGUGCUAAUACCGCAUAUGGUCUUCGGAUUAAAGCCUUCGGGCGCUUUGGGAACGGCCUGCGUAAGAUUAGAUAGUUGGUGGGGUAAUGGCCUACCAAGUCGACGAUCUUUAACUGGUUUGAGAGAAUGAUCAGUCAGACUGGAACUGAGACACGGUCCAGACUCCUACGGGAGGCAGCAGUGAGGAAUCUUCCACAAUGGGCGAAAGCCUGAUGGAGCAACGCCGCGUGCAGGAUGAAGGCCUUCGGGUUGUAAACUGCUUUUAUAAGUGAGGAUUAUGACAGUAACUUAUGAAUAAGGAUCGGCUAACUACGU